ACCAGAGUCUCAAUUGAUUUUAGAGCAAGAAAGAAGCCAAGACGAUGCCAGAGCAAGGAUACUGUUUGGUGGUAACGGACUAUAACGGAAAUGAUCAUCGGCUGUUAUUCUCCACGAAAGUCAUCACCGGUGACGAAAUCAUAGCAACUAUAUUGAAUGAUUCCAGAAUGCCAGAAAUUAAAGGAAUAGCCGUAUGGGUUAAAUGCAGUGGCGAACCUAUAACUAGGACUAAACUAUUGUGGGCUGACAGUGACCACUUGUUCCCCUCAUGCAUGCUGGGAGGAAAUCCGAUGAGAUGAUGAUGAAUUCAUGAUCGAAUAAUCUCAUGCAGUCUUCUAUUGUUAAUUUUUCCCUUUUUUUUUUGAAAUAUUGUGUUUGGAUGUUUGCUGUUUGGAUUAAUCAGGAUAUAUAUAAUUCCUGGGUUUAAAUCUUCAAUAAACAAAAUCAAGAAGGUAGGACUAAACUAUUGUGGGCUGACAGUGACCACUUGUUCCUCUCAUGCAUGCUGGGAGGAAAUCCGAUGAGAUGAUGAAUUCAUGAUCGAAUAAUCUCAUGCAGUCUUGUAUUGUUUUUUUUUUUUGAAAUAUUGUGUUUGGAUGUUUGCUGUUUUGAUUAAUCAGGAUAUAUAUAAUUCCUGGGUUUAAAUCUUCAAUAAACAGAAUCAAGAAGGUAGUAAUUGUUUUCUUAUUUCUAAACUUUGCAAGUUUUGGAUAAAAAAUCACAAUCUUUGUAUACUUCCAAACCAGGUGUUGUGUGGAGUUCAUUUUCCUUGUAGCAUGCGCACCUGCGG
rnacentral:lncRNA from 1 species